ensembl:lncRNA
AUUGCUGGCUGGGGCAUCUCUCCACCCACUGCCUGGAAAGGGCGCGGGGUGAGUGGGGUCUUCCGUGGUGGGUACGGGGCGGUGACCCUGACCCCAGUCUCCCUGAGAGGUCAGUCCGCCCCAGGCAGGGGCUCUGCGUCCUCACAGCGCCAACCUUCAGCUCCCUAGCGGCUCCACCCCGUCCUGGACACUGGUGACGGAGAACAGUCCUGGGAGGCAGGAGAGCUCGGGCCGGCGGGUCCCCUGGGGAGGUAGGUCAUGGACCCGCGCACUGGGGCUGCGAGUUCGUACCGGUGACCGAAGCUGAUGGAGUUACUUCCAGCCGGGGAUUCCUGUCCGCCCCCCCAUUCCAGCGAAUUAAUCCUCCCCACUUCUCCCCUAGUUUUGGGAACCUGGGCACUAAAGGAGUCCAAGAAGUCAAGAGCCUUGAGAAAUGCACUGUGCAAAUAUAUUGACUUUAUUUGUCUCCGUUCGGGAGCCUCACAGACAUAUCUAGGUAAAAAGAUCGUUAAAUAAACGCCGUCAGCCAUCGCAAUGCAAAAAUAAAUAUCAAUCCUCCGGCCACAGCGCCAGCUGCGCUGCGCCCCAAGUCCCAUCGGCCGCGCCUAACAAUUAUAAAAGUGUUCAGCGAGAGUGGGUCGGCGUGAGUGUGAACGGGUGUGCGCGCGGGGGGUGGCCGGGAGGGGUGGGCACGGUGGAGCGGUGUGCAAAAAUCGGAGUUUCAGACCAUCGGACAAGGGCGUGGAGCGACUCUCCGCGAAGCCCCAGGGACCCGCGGCGACUCAGUGCGGGUGCGCCUCCCCGCACACACUCACAGCAGAGUUCGUACUGGGAAGAGUUAAAAAAUAAACAUUUACAAGGGCAAAGAAAGGCGGCACCCCCUUCCCCGGCGCCCCGGCUUCCCGGCGCGCGCUCCCGCCCGGGGCGAGCUCAGCUCGGGGCGCCCGGACCAGUUUGCUGUCGGGUGAGGGUCCAGGCGAUCCCCCAACCAGGGUGCUCAGCGGAUAGGGGACCCCGAGUGCAGGGCGCGGGGCCCCCUCGGGGUUCGCACGCUGGUCCGUCGCGACGCGCCGCCCGGGCGCGCGAGUCCCGGCUGCGGGCGGCGCCGGUCACAGGGCCGAGUCGGAGUCGCUGGAGUCCAGGCUGUUCCUCAGUUUGCAGCCGCUGAGCGGCUCCCUCUGCAGCGACAGACUCUGCGUGCUGCGGCGCAGGCACUCCAGGCUCUGCAGGAACGACUUCUUGGCCUUCUCCUCCUCCAUAGGGGACGCCCCCUCCUCCUCCACCUCCUGGAUCUCGUCGAAGGUCACCGGCUGCGUCUUGAAACGGGACUGGCGCGGCCGCCGCAGCCGGCCCUUGCCCUUGGACAGCUUGGCGGGCCUCAUGGGCUGCGGGAACUCGUCGGCCAGGCACACGAAGUGCGGCAUCACCGCCUGGUAGCUGGAGCAGAUGCCCAUCAGCUCGCCGGGCUUGGCGGCCGCUGCGCCGGGGCCCCCCGGGAGGCAGCAGCCUGGGGCUCGCUGCGCGGAGGAUCCAAAUCUGCUGCGGGGUGGUGGCGGCCCUCACGGGCCCGGGUCGGCGCUCCUCUGGAGGGCGGGCGGGCCCGUCGGGGGGCGCGGGCCUCCGGGGCUGGGUGGGGUGGGGGGUGCGCUGCUCCGAGGCGCUCGCCGCCGCCGCUGUCGCCGUCUGCCCGGCGUCGGCCCGGCCCGCCGCUUAUAUAG